UGCCGGCAUGUCAUCCCCAUG
rnacentral:misc_RNA from 1 species